rnacentral:rRNA from 1 species
GACGAACGCUGGCGGCGUGCCUAAUACAUGCAAGUCGAACGGAGUGGCGCACGGGUGAGUAAUGUAUAGCUAAUCUGCCCUCCACUAGAGGACAACAGUUGGAAACGACUGCUAAUACUCUAUAGUGUAGGAUGAGGCUAUAUUGUAUCAGCUAGUUGGUGAGGUAAUGGCUCACCAAGGCUAUGACGCAUAACUGGUCUGAGAGGAUGAUCAGUCACACUGGAACUGAGACACGGUGCAGACUGCGACGGGUAGCAGCAGUAGGGAGUAUUGCUCAAUGGGGGAAACCCUGAAGCAGCAGCGCCGCGUGGAGGAUGACACUUUUCGGAGCGUAAACUCCGUUUGUUAGGGAAGCGGUACCUAACGAAUAAGCACCGGCUAACUCCGUGCCAGCAGCCGCGGUAAUAC